rnacentral:rRNA from 1 species
UACAGAGACUGCAAGCGUUAUUCGGAUUCACUGGGCGUAAAGGGUGCGCAGGCGCCAUGUGUGUCAGGUGUGAAAGCCCGGGGCUUAACCCCGGAAUUGCGCCUGAAACUACAUGGCUAGAGCAUUGGAGAGGGUAGCGGAAUUCACGGUGUAGCAGUGAAAUGCGCAGAUAUCGUGAGGAACACCAGAGGCGAAGGCGGCUACCUGGACAAUUGCUGACGCUCAGGCACGAAAGCGUGGGGAGCAAAAGGG